rnacentral:misc_RNA from 1 species
UCGGAAGGUGCGGCUGGAUCACCUCCUUUCUAAGGAAAUAAAUUCACAGGCUGUAAAAGGAAAGUGGAUUAAAUAAAAAGUCUUAUAGACUUUUCUACACUGUUUUAAUUAUAUAUAUCAAACACCGCGGGGGUGUAGCUCAGUUGGGAGAGCACCUGCCUUGCAAGCAGGGGGUCAGGAGUUCGAAUCUCCUCAUCUCCACCAUAGACCAUUAAAUUGGUCUUUUUAAACUCUACUAAAUUGUAGGGGAUGAACCAUGAAAACUAAACAAUCAUAUCAAGAAAGAAGAAGAGUCAAAUUUAAUACGAAGUAAUAAAGAAGACACUUUUUCACUGGAAAAGAAAGCAGUCAAUGAGAAUUGAUUAGCAAAGGUCAAGUAAAAAAGAGCAUUAGGUGAAUGCCUAGGCACCAAGAGGCGAAGAAGGACGCGACAAGCUGCGAAAAGCUGUGGGUAGGAGCAAAUAUCCGCCAAACCACAG